GGGGGCCCUAGAGCGAGGGGCACCUGAGGGAGCCUCAGGAGAGGCGGCUUCUGGCUCAAGGUGAUGGGUGCAGAGGGACGGGGGGGCCCUCCCAGUGGAGAGAAGGAGAGCAGGGGCACGUGCACGCAGGAAACCAGACGGCAAGUCCUGCAGCCCCGCCUCGCAGAGAAGGGGGGCCCGAACCAGCACAGGGCCAGCAGCCCCCCUCUCCGUGCCUCCCAUCGUCACCCCUCUUCCCCCCCGCCCCCCGCUCUUCCCUGUCACCCCGCCUCUCCCUCAUAUGUGGGCUCAGGGUAGGAUGCAAGUCCCCCCUUAAUGCCGCAUCCCCGAGAGGCUCUUUCCUGCUUUCCUAUCCGGCUCUUUAGAAAGUUCCUGGUGGCCUCCACGCUCCGGGGCCCUGCUCACCUCCACACCGUCUGGCUCCUCUGCUCCUGGCUCUGGUCUCCCCUCAGGGUGCCCCAGCUCUCUCUCUGUCUCUCUCUUUUUUAAUAUUAGAAACUCAUCCCUUUUGUUUAUAUACUUGAUAUUUUUAAACUCAUUAUAGGCAUUAUUCUUUUUUUAAAAUAUUUUAUUGGGAUCCCUGGGUGGCACAGUGGUUUAGCUGCCUGCCUUUGGCCCAGGGCGCGAUCCUGGAGACCCGGGAUCGAAUCCCACAUCGGGCUCCCGGUGCAUGGAGCCUGCUUCUCCCUCUGCCUGUGUCUCUGCCUCUCUCUCUCUCUCUCACUGUGUGCCUAUCAUAAAUUUAAAAAAUCCAGUUAAAAAAAAUAAAAUAUUUAUUUUCUCAUGAGAGACACACAGAGAGAGAGAGACAGAGACACAGGCAGAGGGAGAAGCAGGCUCCAUGCAGGGAGCCUGACGUGGGACUCGAUCCCAGGACCCCAGGACCCCAGGACCAUGCCCUGGGCCGCAGGUGGUGCUGAACCGCUGGGGUCUGUAACGGGCACAGCAAUGGUGGGAUGCUAAAGCCAGCGCUGAGCCCGAGGCCUGUCUGGCGGGUGCAUCGUCGCCAGUGUCCACAGACUGGGGGGUUUGAGCAACGGGCCUUGGCAUCUCCCAUCGCCGAGGCCGGGGAGCCCCGGAGCAGGGCUGUGGCGCAGUCAGGGCCUGGUGGAGGCCUCCUCCCGGGUCCCAGACGGCAUGGUCCCCCGGGGGCUCUCCUACCCCAGGGUGCUCCCCUCCAGCCCCGUGACCUCACCACCUCCCGAGCGCCCAGAAAACCAUCCCAUGCAAGAUUCGGAUUUCAGCAGGGGAAUUUAGGAGGAGCAAACGCUCAGCCCGUGCCUGAAGCCCCCCUCCUUUACCCCCUUUUUCAAAGCCCUGCUCAGCGGCCCGGCCGCCCACGGCUCCUGAGUGAUGCUCUUGGGUCCCACAGACACGAGCCCCACCUCUUUCUCCAGCAACACGGAAUCCACCCAAUCCGUGCUUCCCCAACUGCCUGUGGGCACCAGCUAAACAUUUCCUGGUGUGCCCGGUAAUAACAGGCAGCUGUCCUGUCAGCUCCACUGAAAAAUGAGAUAAUAAGGCAGGCAAAGUGAUGUCCUUUAUAUCCUGAAUCUACCACUUCCUGCAGUUUUCUUCUCGAACGCUUGAAGUAACAAGGAUCCGUGCAAUUUUCAGGCUGUUUCUUCUAAAAAAAAGUUUGUCCAGAUUCUUGGGGAGUGUCAUUUCCCUCUGGGACAUUUGGUGGAAAAAGAGGCCGCCUGCUUCAUUGCACCAGGACAGAAGGCUUCCAAGAAGCCUUGGAAUGGGGUUCGUGGAUGGAUGGAAGUCUCACCCCAGAGGCCAGUGAGGUGAUGAGAGCUGCAGCAGCGUCUGGAGGGGUGGCCUGGCUCCCCGAGAGGACAACCACUGGGGACCUCUCUGUCGCACCACUGGGAUGACCGGCCUGUGGGAAGCCGCAGCGAGAGCGGAGUAGUGCUCCUGCUGCUCUCGACAGGCUUCCCAGGGGCCUGGAAGCCUUUUUUUGGUUGUUUUUUGUUUUUUGUUUUUGUUUUUGUUUUUUUUUUUUAAGUUAACGAAGCCAACAACUUCUCGUUUAAUUCUUUCCAACUCUACAGACAUGAUUCUGCUUUCACCUUCAUUACACUUUCAUAUGGUUUUAGCAGGGGAUAUACCUCCUCUCCUAAGAAUCUCUGCACCUGUCGGGAUGCAGAAGAGAAGAAGAAGGAUCCAGUAGACGGUCCAACUGGGGGUGAAUGGGACUAACGUAGGCCUCAGCCUGGAUUCACUCUAUGAGGUCACUGUCACCCCCUUCCUGCUUGACCACAGCAGCUGCCUCCUGGGAAAGCACCCUGAUUUUCUCAUGGAAUCCUGGCGGUUACCCCCAGCUGUCACUCGGCCAUGAUGAUGUUCUCUGUGGCCACGAAGGGUAGCUCUUGCCGAAUGCGCCGCUCGAUUACUUUGGGGUACACCACCAAUCCUUCAGAAAUGUUCUCCUGCUGAGAAACCCGCAACUGGGUAGGUAGGAUGGGCUCACCCCGGGGAGCGCAGGUGGUGUGCGAGGUGUGAGCUUGGAGGCGUCCUGGGACUCAUCUGUGGCUCUCCUACAUUUGACAGCAAAAAAAGCAAGUCGAGGGGGAUCCCUGGAUGGCUCAGUGGUUGAGCAUCCGCCUUCAGCCUGGGGCAUAGUCCUGGAGUCCCAGAAUCAAGUCCCACAUCGGGCUCCCUGCGUGGAGCCUGCUUCUCCCUCUGUCUGUGUCUCUGCUUCUUUCUCUGUGUCUCUCAUGAAUAAACAAAUUAAAUCUUAAAAAAAAAAAAAAGCA
rnacentral:lncRNA from 12 species